AUCGCUUCUUAGCCUUUUGGCUAAGAUCAAGUGUACUAUCUGUUCUUAUCAGUAUAAUAUCUGGUACAUCCUCUAUCUGAAGAUGACACAUUCAAUAGAUUUUUGGAGCAGGGAAAUGGACUAGGAGCUUGCUGGGUCCACUCCAAGCAUCAACCCAGAAAGCAGUAAUUUCGGGAAGGGUGCACAAAAG